UACGAAGGGGGCUAGCGUUGCUCGGAAUUACUGGGCGUAAAGGGUGCGUAGGCGGGUUUUUAAGUCAGAGGUGAAAUCCUGGAGCUCAACUCCAGAACUGCCUUUGAUACUGAAAGUCUUGAGUAUGGGAGAGGUGAGUGGAACUGCGAGUGUAGAGGUGAAAUUCGUAGAUAUUCGCAAGAACACCAGUGGCGAAGGCGGCUCACUGGCCCAUUACUGACGCUGAGGCACGAAAGCGUGGGGAGCAAACGGG
rnacentral:rRNA from 1 species